rnacentral:rRNA from 1 species
AUGAACAUUAAAAGUUGCGGGGCUGUAGUGAGUCUUAAAAAGUGGUUUGAAUCUGUGGGUGCCAAGGGUGUACUUAACAUUGCUUGGGUCAAUGUUAGCAACAUCCCUCUGGAUAAAAGACAUAUAAGAAAUAUUGCAUAUGUUGGAUCUUUGGUGGUUGUCACUUUAGACAUUGAUAAAACUACUGUCAACAGACCUGAGUCGGUCAGAAUCAAACUGGGUUGUAGAGAUGCUGAGGAUAUCCCAUCUAAGGCCGAGGGGGUGCUGAGAGAUCACUUAUAUGAUUUCUUCUAUUAA